rnacentral:rRNA from 1 species
UACGGAGGGUGCAAACGUUGCUCGGAAUUACUGGGCGUAAAGGGCUCGUAGGCGGCCAACUAAGUCGGAUGUGAAAUCCCCAGGCUUAACCUGGGAACUGCAUCCGAUACUGGAUGGCUUGAAUCCGGGAGAGGGAUGCAGAAUUCCAGGUGUAGCGGUGAAAUGCGUAGAUAUCUGGAGGAAUACCGGUGGCGAAGGCGGCAUCCUGGACCGGCAUUGACGCUGAUGAGCGAAAGCUAGGGGAGCAAACGGG